rnacentral:rRNA from 1 species
AGAGUUUGAUCAUGGCUCAGGACGAACGCUGGCGGCGUGCCUUAUACAUGCAAGUCGAACGAGAAAGCUCCCUUCGGGGGGUGAGUAAACUGGCGAACGGGUGAGUAACACGUAGGUAACCUGCCUGCAGGUCUGGGAUAACCUUGCUAACGCAGGGCUAAUACCGGAUAAUGUUCUUGUGUCACAUGGCAUGAAAACCAAAGCUGCCUUCGGGUAGCACCUGUGGAUGGACCUGCGCCCCAUUAGUUAGUUGGUAGGGUAGCGGCCUACCAAGACGACGAUAGGUAGCCGGCCUGAGAGGGUGACCGGCCACACUGGGACUGAGAUACGGCCCAGACUCCUACGGGAGGCAGCAGUGAGGAAUAUUGCGCAAUGGGCGAAAGCCUGACGCAGCAACGCCGCGUGGAUGAUGAAGCUCUAAGGAGUGUAAAGUCCUGUUAGGAGGGAAGAAUAAUAUUUAUUCGAUAAGGAUAAAUGUUUGACGGUACUUCCAGAGAAAGCCCCGGCUAACUCCGUGCCAGCAGCCGCGGUAAUACGGGGGGGGCGAGCGUUGUCCGGAAUUAUUGGGCGUAAAGGGCGCGUAGGCGGAAUGGUAAGUUAGGGGUGAAAACCAUAGGCUUAACUUAUGGCCUGCCUCUAAAACUGCCAUUCUUGAGUACGGUAGAGGGAAGCGGAAUUCCUGGUGUAGCGGUGAAAUGCGUAGAUAUCAGGAAGAACACCGGUAGCGAAGGCGGCUUCCUGGACCGCAACUGACGCUGAGGCGCGAAAGCGUGGGGAGCAAACAGGAUUAGAUACCCUGGUAGUCCACGCUGUAAACGAUGGGCACUAGGUGUUGGUCUGCCGAAAAGCGGAUCAGUGCCGCAGCUAACGCAUUAAGUGCCCCGCCUGGGGAGUACGAUCGCAAGGUUGAAACUCAAAUGAAUUGACGG